rnacentral:rRNA from 1 species
UCGAUCGCCGUAGAGAUACGGUUUCCCCUUUGGGGCGGGUUCACAGGUGGUGCAUGGUUGUCGUCAGCUCGUGUCGUGAGAUGUUGGGUUAAGUCCCGCAACGAGCGCAACCCUCGUUCCAUGUUGCCAGCACGUAAUGGUGGGGACUCAUGGGAGACUGCCGGGGUCAACUCGGAGGAAGGUGAGGACGACGUCAAAUCAUCAUGCCCCUUAUGUCUUGGGCUUCACGCAUGCUACAAUGGCCGGUACAAUGGGUUGCGAUACUGUGAGGUGGAGCUAAUCCCAAAAAGCCGGUCUCAGUUCGGAUUGGGGUCUGCAACUCGACCCCAUGAAGUCGGAGUCGCUAGUAAUCGCAGAUCAGCAACGCUGCGGUGAAUACGUUCCCGGGCCUUGUACACACCGCCCGUCAAGUCACGAAAGUUGGUAACACCCGAAGCCGGUGGCCUAACCCUUGUGGGGGGAGCCGUCGAAGGUGGGACCAGCGAUUGGGACUU